AGAUGCUUGCAGCCUUCUGAAGUGGUGUGAUGCUGCUCUGCAUGGGCUAAGGCUUUCUGAAAUUGUUAGUACUCUGUUGUGGCCAUCUCAACUGGGAUGUAUGCUGUGACAAAAAAGAGGUUUAGAAACUCUUCAGGGAGUCUGAACGUGCAAAAUAGAGGAUGUUCUCCUGGCCGCCUGUCCCGCGCUGCUGAGCGGCGUUAAUGCGGCUCUUAAACAGCUGCUGUGCUUCUCACUGCAAGUGCCUGCAUUUCGGUGGCAGGAGUUAUCUGGAGUGGGUGCUUUGUGCUGAUGAGCAUUGCUACAGUCCCAUUAGAUUUUAUGUGCUUUAAGAUUCACAAAUUCCAUCCUGUGAAGGUGAGGAGUGAUGCCUCUUGCAGACUGACUGCCCCCAUGCACUGCAAGCGACAAAAGUAAAGAACAAUUAUUUGUUGAAAGAAACGUGUUGUUAUUAGAAAGGACCAAAAACAAGGUGAAGGGUGAAGUUGAAAUUUUAUUCUAAGGCACAUGUACUGGAUUGGGGAGUUGGUUUAAGCACAGAAGGGUUUGCUGCAGUUGGAAACCAGCAUUAUCACAGCAAUUAGCCUUGGGCAUUAUCUUCCCUCUCCUAUCUCCUGUUUAGAUCAUAUAUCAGCACCAGUGGUUCGUGUUGUACUUGUAAGUAAUGUACAUCAAGCCUAUUCCACUGCUCCAUUUUUCCAUUAUAAUGCCUGUUUGACACCCUAUUUAAAAUGCAUUUCAUUUUACACAAAAUAAUUAUUCAACUAUUAAUUGUGCACUCAUCUUUCCUUCAGUGCUCUUUGUUAUCUGAUUAU